rnacentral:tRNA from 1 species
AGGGGAUUGAUGUAAUGGCAGCAUACGAAACUUUGACUUUCGCAGUAUCGGUUCGAGUCCGUUAUCCCCAGCCA